rnacentral:sRNA from 1 species
UAUCCGCCAACCGCUUAUUGAAGAUCCC